rnacentral:lncRNA from 1 species
CGAUCAGCUGAUUUCACAGAUUGCAACAGCUGUUCAUGGGCUUUUAUCGAUGUGACGAUGUUCACGGUGGAUAUCUUUUUACCGGAAACGAACGUGUGGACAUCUGGCAAUGGCUUAGGAGCGUUUUAAAAAAAAAUGUUUUUAAUAUAGCUGAAAAGAGGAUAUUUAUGAGGCUUUACAGGUGGUCCAGCAGAUCGAUCGUCUCACAGCCAGAAUCGACCUCAGCGAGGAGGUACCCUGCAUCACUCAGGGGACGUCCCGUGAUCUUCAAGUCUCAACUCAUCCAGGUGACCUCAGGGUGGCCCUGCUGCCCAAUCACAAGCCUGCUCCAGUCCAGGUGUUGCAACACAUCGACGAAGACCGCAUCAUCUUAAGAACUAACUCUCCCUCUCCUGUUCACAUGGCAUCGGUCGUCAAAACCAGCCGCUUCACUCCACCCAGCCACAGUAAGGACAUCAACCACGAAAGGCCGGGUGUAAACGGCCACCCGCCUCACCUGUAUCACCCCAGAGACCCCCAGUACGUUGGCCAAACUCAUCCUGAGCCACUCCCACAGAGCCUCGACCCUAAAGUCAUUAUUGGUAACAGCACCUCCAAUUCAAGGACUCAGAAGCCUCCUCUGUACCCUCAAAACGGGCGCUGUGGUAAGGGCCCAUACCCGCCUCCCAAGCCUGGAAGAGCCCCUGCCUACCCCGAGAGAGGCAGUGAGAGCACCAGCAUGGUGUGAAGGAGGGGGGUGGUUGCCCCAGUGCCAUGGGGGCCUGAAACAUGAGACCCUGCUGCAACGAGUGGAGGUCAAAGUGGGACCAGGCAGGGGAACAACUCAUGGUGAGUUCAGAUACAAGAGGACUUUUUUCUCUCUUACUUACAGUGUUGAUGUUUCCAUCAGCGCUCUGAGCUGAUGACGUUUGCCUUGUUUACUGGCAGCGUAGUUUUCAAAGUCAGUAAAUGAAUUGCAGUGUUCCUUCAAGUUACAAAAAAGGGUUUAUGUGCGUGUUUGAAGUCUGUGUGUGGGCGGCAGCGGAGGGGGCGUAAUGUGUCUGCUUUUGUUGAUGUCACAUGAUUUCCCAGUCUUCACUACACUGCAAAAUGUGUCUGGCUUGGCAAGUGAAAUAGGAAAUGAGUAUUUGUUCUUCAGUUUGUUGACACGUGUGGUCAAAAUCAGCCAGCAGGGUGAGAAAACUUCCCUUGCUGAUGUACAAUUUUACUUUUUUGAAUAGAUUUGAGGAAUGUCUGAUCUUGCAAAACAAGAUUAGCCAUUAGUUAUUACACAUUUAAAAAACAUAACACUCAAAAUAAGAUGGGCUUUAUUUAAGCAGUUAAAAAAUAUUUAGAUUUUGAUAAUUGUUCUCAUUUUAAUCACUUGAAUCUAAAAGCAGAAAGUAGGAUCAAAUCUUAAUGCAGAUUUCUUUUGCAGUGUUACUUAGUCAUCACUUCGAGGGAACUGAAAGUUGGCAGGAGCUCAGUCGUUUUUGGCGAAGGAAGACCCCACAGCAGCUUGAUGCAAUCAUGUGACACAAAAGAGGCGUCACUAUAUUUACAGGAUGAUCAUAGCUCUUACUCAGAACUGACUUAAUUUACUGUUAGAGGUUGAUGAGGAGGAGCUAAAGCUUUCUUCUCGUGCCACAGAGCAGACUUAAUAACAAGAUGACAUCUGUGAAAAAGUCCCUGCAGCAGAUGGGGGAAAUUAAACAGAGUUCCUUUAAAAAGUCCACCUUUACAGAUGCUGCAGAGACAGACGUGCAUGUUUCUGUACUUCCCUCUUGUGCAGAGUAUGCGUAACUGCAAUCUAUUUUUCUGGCCUCUCUAAGUUGGGCAAGAACAAUCUGGUUUUAAUCAUAAAACCUGCUGGCCACGUGCCAGAAUGGAGUAAGGCAAACUCUUGGUAUAUUUGUGACGUCCAUAUAAACAUAAGCACCGCUGCACUGUAACGCAGCUCCUCACAUUGUGCUGCAGGGAGAGACGCGCUCCAAGCUUCAGGUCGAAGCUGGCAGCCAGAGAAACGGGUCGAAAAAGUGCAUGUGCUUGAGCUUUCGUUUAUAUAGCGAGACAAGAGUUUAAUUAGUAAUAAGUGUAAUGUAGCCGUUCGACACCGCCCUUUCUUUUCACUUUCAAAGUCUUUUUAAAGAGUCUUUUUAAAAGCACCGAUGCAGUUGACAUUUUAAAGGCCUGAAUAAUCACCCAAAGCAGAAAUGGUGUUAAAAUGGCAACCCAGACACACACACACACACACACUCACACACACACGUGUACAUAUGUAUAAUAUAAUUCCCUCAGAUAACCCUUUUGUUAAAAGGGUUCCCAAUAGCUUGUUCUAAUGUGGUUUCUAGUCGUCGUGGGGUCCAUGAUUAAACACAAAUAACACGGGACACAAAUCUGGAAAUCGACAUUAAUAAUUGUAUAAAAUGUAAAAGAGCAAAAGACAAAUUUAGAAUGAAUAUGAAAUGCAUCAAGACUAAUGUACUCCUACAUUACGUAGAGAGAAAUAAAAGAGAGUUUAAUGGAUACACACAAAGGCGAUAUGGUAAAACUAAUUUGCUUACCACAGGGCUGGGUUAAUAUACUGUUUAACCCCGAAGACGAGAGAAAAAGGGACUAAUUUAUAUUACAACCAAGGCUGAUACAAACUGGGCAACUGCCCCCCCAGAUCCCCGGGGGCCCAAAAAAGCCCCAGCUGUGAGCGAUCAACUGAAAUAAUAAUGGCUUCCUGUGUCAAAAUCUAAAUUUAAAAAUGUUAUUAUUUCAGUUUAAAUUGUGCUUUCAAGGUGCACACUCCUUAAUAAAUGUGUGUUUAAUCAAAUUACCACAUACUAAUUGUUACUCCGCAAUCUUGAGGCCAGGUUUUAUUCCUGCGUAGGAUGACUGGUUUCUGCAGCUCUGGGCUGAAUGUUACGUCUUCAGGUUUAUUCUGUCUUCAGGUCUGUACUUGAUACCUAAAGACAACGUGUUUUACACAAUGCACUGAUAGAAUUUAUUGAAAUCCUGAAUAAACAAUGACAACGUGAGCCGAUUUGUCCCACAUAGAAAAGACAGAUUUGUACAUUAGCAGACCAUAAUAUUUCAUGAUUUAAUACUUUAAUUUUAAUUUAAUGUAAUUUUAAUUUAACAACAUUAACUUUUUAAAAUGUUUUAACUUGUAUACUCUGUUUUCUUUUACUAAUUUGUGCUUUGCAUUUACAUGAUGUGUUAUUAUGCUUUGUGUUUCUGUUGCUGCACAAUCGAUUGUCUUUUGAUUGCACGAUGGGGCAGUCGAUCGUGGACCACAGAUCAUUUUUGCCCCGGGGCAUUCUUUCGGUUUGAUCUCUCCCGACCCGGUCUCCUACAUUACAUUCCCGUACAACAGAACUGCAUUAUUAGUUUUGUUUUGAGGGAAACUUAUUCUCUCUCUCUCGCAGUUUUAAACACGUUGUUAGGUUUAGUAACAGAUUAUGGUUUGGGUUAAAAUAAGGAUGUUUGUUACGCAACUUAAGUAACAUACGUGAGUUAAGUACGUUAAGUUAAAUGUUAAUGCUAUUAACUUGAAAUGAAAUGAGUAUGCAAAUUAAAAUAAGUCUGAGUUGUUUUUGGUUUCCCACGGGACAUGAACAGCAGUCUCCUGGGUGAAAAUUAUAUCUUGGUUUGACCACACACACACACACACACACACACACACACACACACACGCAGCUCUUUGAUAUAAUCUGGUUUAUAGUGCUCCUCUAAAAGCAAGGCAACAUGACGCAUGCACACACACACACACGCACACACACACACACACACACACACACACACGUACAUAUGUAUAAUAUAGUUCCCUCAGAUACCCCUUUUGUUAAAAGGGUUCCCAAUAGCUUGUUCUAAUGUGGUUUCUAGUCGUCGUGGGGUCCAUGAUUAAACACAAAUAACACACACACACACACACACACACGCACGCACACACACGUAUCUGGGCUCACUGAGAUGCUGAGUUCUGAAUCUUAAUGAUUUUUUCUCUUUUUUUGUUAUGAUGUUUCCAGCAGGAGCUGAUGCCAUUGAAGACGAGCUGUCAGCCGGCGGAAACAGAGCACGGCCUGAAGGUGGGGAUAUUUCCAAAGGGAAAACUCCCCCCCAUGAGUCGACCUGCGACUGCAUGUCACACGGGCACAGAUGCAUGGAGGGAGUGGCAGUCAAACCUCUGAGAAUUUAAUGCUGAGAAUAGGAAGUGGCAAAUAAUGAGCAGGAGAAACUGUGAACUCAUCAACUACCAGUAGAAAAGAUAAGGAAUAUUUUCAUGACAGGUUUAAUUUAUUUUAUAUUAUUUUUUUAUUGCAAAGAAAUCUAUUUUCAGGCAGCUUACACCAGUCUGGAUACUACCUAACCUAAUGUAUGCUAUAUCAAGAUGUAUAUCAUUUAAACUAUUGUACAGAUAUUUUACAAAUAAAGAGAUUAGACUGUUUUUCUCACAGCUACAAGGUUGUUACGGUGUGUACGAGAAUAAUCAGGAACAUUGGAGAGGCAGAGCUGAGAUUAGACUCUUCUCUCCUUUUCACACAAAUCAAUCUGACGUCUUCAUUAUCUAGAGAUGUUGCAUUGACCGCUGAAUGUCCCUUCAAAAAUGAAAUAAAGUAUUUGACGCCAACAUUUCAUUGCCCCUGACUCUGGCCAAUUAUUUAUGCGUUCACUGAGUCUGACAGAAGAAUCCCAAAUGGUUGUGGAAGUUGUGUAAAUACUUCUCGAGGUGAUCUGGAGAUGGUCGGUGUCAUCGCUCUUUGGUGUAAUCGCUCUUGGCUUUAUUCUGUCAGGGAGUCGGCGGGCCAGCGUCUGUUUUUC